rnacentral:rRNA from 1 species
GGCAGCAGUGGGGAAUAUUGCACAAUGGGCGCAAGCCUGAUGCAGCGACGCCGCGUGAGGGAUGGAGGCCUUCGGGUUGUAAACCUCUUUUGUUAGGGAGCAAGGCACUUUGUGUUGAGUGUACCUUUCGAAUAAGCACCGGCUAACUACGUGCCAGCAGCCGCGGUAAUACGUAGGGUGCAAGCGUUAUCCGGAAUUAUUGGGCGUAAAGGGCUCGUAGGCGGUUCGUCGCGUCCGGUGUGAAAGUCCAUCGCUUAACGGUGGAUCCGCGCCGGGUACGGGCGGGCUUGAGUGCGGUAGGGGAGACUGGAAUUCCCGGUGUAACGGUGGAAUGUGUAGAUAUCGGGAAGAACACCAAUGGCGAAGGCAGGUCUCUGGGCCGUUACUGACGCUGAGGAGCGAAAGCGUGGGGAGCGAACAGGAUUAGAUACCCUGGUAGUCCACGCCGUAAACGGUGGAUGCUGGAUGUGGGGCCCGUUCCACGGGUUCCGUGUCGGAGCUAACGCGUUAAGCAUCCCGCCUGGGGAGUACGGCCGCAAGGCUAAAACUCAAAGAAAUUGACGGGGGCCCGCACAAGCGGCGGAGCAUGCGGAUUAAUUCGAUGCAACGCGAAGAACCUUACCUGGGCUUGACAUGUUCCCGACGAUCCCAGAGAUGGGGUUUCCCUUCGGGGCGGGUUCACAGGUGGUGCAUGGUCGUCGUCAGCUCGUGUCGUGAGAUGUUGGGUUAAGUCCCGCAACGAGCGCAACCCUCGCCCCGUGUUGCCAGCGGAUUAUGCCGGGAACUCACGGGGGACCGCCGGGGUUAACUCGGAGGAAGGUGGGGAUGACGUCAGAUCAUCAUGCCCCUUACGUCCAGGGCUUCACGCAUGCUACAAUGGCCGGUACAACGGGAUGCGACAGUGCGAGCUGGAGCGGAUCCCUGAAAACCGGUCUCAGUUCGGAUCGCAGUCUGCAACUCGACUGCGUGAAGGCGGAGUCGCUAGUAAUCGCGAAUCAGCAACGU